UUGGAAAUUUGGUUAUUUCUUUUCUGGAAAUUAUCCAGUUGUCAUCACUGAUCAUAAUUAUGUCAAGGUUUAGAGAAGGAUGAAUAAUAUGAGGAAAUCCAACUGCCAGAAGAAAACCAAGUCCUCAAACAUUUCACUUCUCAUUAAUCUGUUUUUCAAAUUUAGCUAAAAUUACUUAGUUAACGGUUUUGAAAUAAUCUUUUCUGACUGCAUUUUUAUCAUAGAAAAUGAAAAUUCUGUUCUUCAUUUAAUUUAUCGUCUAUUUAGGUAUUCUAAUUCUAUUUUCAGCAUGUAAGGUGAAAGAGUUUUUUUCCCUCCAGUUGUGUUGAUCUGAAGGAACUUGCAUAUGGCCAAAGGCCAAAGUCCACAAGCUGUUUGCAUGGACAAGAACAGCAAUAUUAUAGUGCCAUUUUAACUUUUUUUUUCCUGACAGGAUGCAGUUCAGUGAUAGUGUUCUACACAGAACUUCUAACUUCCUAUUUACAUGUCUCCAGUGCAAACCUCAUUUCAUCUAGACAGGCACUUCUUCUGUUUCAGAUGGCUGAUGUUCUCUUCACUGUUAUAACAGCUGAAGUAAAUGUUUUUAUGAAGCCUUCUAUUUCAUUUCACGGUAAAUGCAUACAGCCAUUUUACAGUCCUUUUUUUUUUUUUUUUUUUUUUAGUUUUACCUAGAUCUUAAUGAGCUUGUUUACUUGAGAAACAUCACAUUGUUAAUUCCACCAGCUAACCUGGGCAAAAGGCAUUCUUAGUAAGAAAGCCACAUGCUUGAAAAUUUUAUUUUGUCUAGCAAACCUAAAUUCAUCAUUAUUGCCUGCUAUUGAAUAUUUGACAGGAAUAUCUGAACCUUACAUGGAAAGGUGGAACACUGCAUCCAAAAGACUGACUGAAAUAAAGCAAGUCAAAUCAGUGAAGCCCUUUGAAGA
rnacentral:lncRNA from 1 species